GUCCACACCGUAAACGUUGGGCGCUAGGUGUGGGACUCAUUCCACGAGUUCCGUGCCGCAGCUAACGCAUUAAGCGCCCCGCCUGGGGGAGUACGGCCGCAAGGCUAAAACUCAAAGGAAUUGACGGGGGCCCGCACAAGCGGCGGAGCAUGCGGAUUAAUUCGAUGCAACGCGAAGAACCUUACCUAGGUUUGACAUAUACGAGAAGCCUCUAGAGAUAGAGGUCUCUUUGGACACUCGUAUACAGGUGGUGCAUGGCUGUCGU
rnacentral:rRNA from 1 species